GACGUAGGGCGCGAGCGUUGUCCGGAUUUAUUGGGCGUAAAGAGCUCGUAGGCGGCUUGUCGCGUCGUCCGUGAAAACCUGGGGCUCAACCCCAGGCUUGCGGUCGAUACGGGCAGGCUCGAGUUCGGUAGGGGAGACUGGAAUUCCUGGUGUAGCGGUGAAAUGCGCAGAUAUCAGGAGGAACACCGGUGGCGAAGGCGGGUCUCUGGGCCGAUACUGACGCUGAGGAGCGAAAGCGUGGGGAGCGAACAGG
rnacentral:rRNA from 1 species